rnacentral:rRNA from 1 species
UACGUAGGUGGCGAGCGUUAUCCGGAAUUACUGGGCGUAAAGCGCACGCAGGCGGUCUUUUGGGUCUGACGUGAAAGCUCCUGGCUUAACUGGGAGAGGUCGUUGGAAACUGGGAGACUUGAGGCAAUGAGAGGGGUGUGGAAUUCCCGGUGUAGUGGUGGAAUGCGUAGAGAUCGGGAGGAACACCAGUGGCGAAAGCGGCACCCUGGCAUUGGCCUGACGCUGAGGUGCGAAAGCGUGGGGAGCAAAC